UUGAAAGCGGAAAGAGCAGUCAUCUUCCUCCUUCCGGGUCUCUCUAAGUAUAAGGAAGACCCCUUUGUCUCUGGAAAGUGCCUGUGGAAAAUCUGAAAACAGAGCAAGGCUACGUUGCUUUCCAAGGGAUAGGUAUGCCGUAACUUAUCUAGACAGUCUUAUGAUGGUGGACAUUCAAGUCAUCAUCACUCAGUGUUUCAGUGAACAUCCUGGGCAUCUGUCUUGGGCACUUCUGUGUGUAUUCUCUAGUCAUAAUCCAAGAAAUUAACGGGUGUGCACAUUUAAAUGUGUAGGGACGGCCAAAGCUGUCUUCUUGAGGGACAGUGCCAGUCAUCAGCAGAGUCGGAAGUUGGAAAAUGUGCUGUUUGAACUGAACACCUCCUUUUGCUGAUCAUCAGAUGGGAUGGGGGAAGAACCUGAUGGAAGUCACAUGUGAGUUCCAAACACAACCAAGAACACGGCCUCCUGAUUCUCUGCCCAGGGAGUUCCUUGUGUUUUUAUCAACCUCUAAUAGCCCUGUGGUCCUUUACCUUGGCUGGUCUGGUGCCCUGCCCAGACCCAGGAGCAAAGGCUUUGAAUAAGCAUAUUCUGGUCACAUUUCAACCUCAGCCCUUAAGAUCAUGUCUUAAGUUACCUAAGAAAGGGACUCUGACUUGGGUGCCUUGGCAAUCCUUUUGAGGGGGAACAUCUGGUCCCUUUGGACCAAAUCGUUCUUGCCACGUCCAGGGACAGCUGAGUCUACUGAGUGAAGCAUGGACCUCGGCCUCCAAGCUUAGCUUCGCCCCGCCUGGGAUUUGGGGCAUGGUGCUCAGCCUCUCUGUGCCUCAGUGUCCCCACCUUGGAAACAGGAGCCCUUCACAGAGCUAUCCUGAAAGUAAAACAGUAAUUGUAUGGGAAGGGUUGGGAGGCUCUCAGGAUGUUUGUUUUCCUUCUGGGAUGUGGGGCUGAGGCGUCCAACAGAGGGCAGUCUGAGCUGGAAGCCCGGUUCUCCACACUGAGGAGCAUCUGCAAGGCGUUCCCCGGUGCUAAUUUGUUCCCAGAGUUGAGAUUUAAUUGAGGUCAGAGUCAUUUGCACUUAUAACGCUGGUGAGCUGCUCUGAAGAGGUGAUUUGAGGACAUGAAAUGGCCACAUCCCAAAAUUCCUCAGACACUCCCUUUGCUCUCAUUUCUCUCUGAAUUCUUCAUCUUCUAAAUAUCAUCAUCUGUCUUCACUUCUCUAUCGUCAGCACACUCCAUUUCCGUCCACGGCAUCACCGCCUCUCUGGCCAUCCAGGACUGUAACUCUACUGUGAACCCUGGACCCCCUCACUCCCCAUGUCCACGCAGCUGCCUCAUCCCGGACGAGUGCCCUGAUCCUUCCCUGUGCCCAGGCAGCAGCACCCCCAGGGCAGACCUCCCUGCCAGCCAGCCAGCACAAAGUACCACGUCCGGACAGGACACCAGGGCUCGCCAGCACCUGGUCCAACCCUCUGCCUCCCCUUCCCACUGUAAUGGCAGC